rnacentral:rRNA from 1 species
GACGAACCGUGCGAACGUUGUUCGGAAUCACUGGGCUUAAAGGGCGCGUAGGCGGGCUGCCGCGUCCGGGGUGAAAUCCCUCGGCUUAACCGGGGAACUGCGUCUGAUACUGGAUGGCUCGAGUUUGGGAGAGGGAUGCGGAAUUCCAGGUGUAGCGGUGAAAUGCGUAGAUAUCUGGAGGAACACCGGUGGCGAAGGCGGCAUCCUGGACCAACACUGACGCUGAGGAGCGAAAGCCAGGGGAGCAAACGGG